rnacentral:ncRNA from 1 species
GUUAUGUCCCUAGGGAUAACAGUGCAAUCCCACUCUAGAGUUCAUAUCGACGAUAAGGUUUGCAACCUCGAUGUUGGAUCAGGACACCCUAAUGGUGUAGCCUCUAUUAAUGGUCCAUUUGUUCAAUGAUUAAAGUCUUAUGUGAUCUGAGUUCAGACUGGAGUAAUCCAGGUUGGUUUCUA